AAACCAACCGGGAUUGCCUCAGUAACGGCGAGUGAAGCGGCAAAAAGCUCAAAUUUGAAAUCUGGCACUUUCAGUGUCCGAGUUGUAAUUUGUAGAAGUAGUUUUGGGACUGGUCCUUAUCUAUGUUUCUUGGAACAGGACGUCAUAGAGGGUGAGAACCCCGUAUGAUGAGGCCCCCAGUCCUUUGUAAAACGCUUUCGAAGAGUCGAGUUGUUUGGGAAUGCAGCUCUAAGUGGGUGGUAAAUUCCAUCUAAAGCUAAAUAUUGGCGAGAGACCGAUAGCGAACAAGUACAGUGAUGGAAAGAUGAAAAGAACUUUGAAAAGAGAGUGAAAAAGUACGUGAAAUUGUUGAAAGGGAAGGGCAUUUGAUCAGACAUGGUGUUUUUGCAUGCACUCGCCUCUCGUGGGCUUGGGCCUCUCAAAAAUUUCACUGGGCCAACAUCAAUUCUGGCAGCAGGAUAAAUCAUUAAGAAUGUAGCUACUUCGGUAGUGUUAUAGCUUUUUUGGAAAUACUGUUAAGCC
rnacentral:rRNA from 1 species